rnacentral:rRNA from 1 species
GACGAACCGUGCGAACGUUGUUCGGAUUCACUGGGCUUAAAGGGCGCGUAGGCGGCUCGCCAAGUCAGGGGUGAAAUCGUUCGGCCCAACCGGACAAGGGCCCCUGAUACUGGCGAGCUCGAGGGGGGUAGGGGCAUGCGGAACUUCCGGUGGAGCGGUGAAAUGCGUAGAUAUCGGAAGGAACGCCGGUGGCGAAAGCGGCGUGCUGGACCCCUCCUGACGCUGAGGCGCGAAAGCUAGGGGAGCAAACGGG